rnacentral:sRNA from 1 species
UAUGAGUUCCAGUGGAGGCGCCGAAGAAAGAAUUGAUGAUGAUUUUAAAAGGAGAAUUUUCAAAUUUAAAGCUUUGACGGCAGUUCGCAUAUAUUUUUUAGCGUCUUUUAUAAAAAAAAAAAUAUCCAACUUUUAUCAAGUUUCAACAUGUUGCAUGCUUCAUUCAUUGAGGACAACGAAUACCAAAAAAUUAUUUAGUGGGUAGGUAACAAAACAGCAGACAAAUAGGACGAUUAACGCUUCUGAGGAUGACAAAUCCGCAUCGUUUGAGUGACGGGCCAUAACGAAAGGGCGAAUGAAAGGGCAGAUAAUUUGGCGGUGAAGGCCAGAGGUCAGCAGUUAAUAAACUUGGAUAACUUGAAGCCUUUCGGGUCGACGCAGUCCGAGUGGGCGACGAAUACGCAUGCAACACUGUGGA